rnacentral:rRNA from 1 species
AGCGAACGCUGGCGGCAGGCUUAACACAUGCAAGUCGAACGGGCACUUCGGUGCUAGUGGCAGACGGGUGAGUAACACGUGGGAACGUACCUUUCGGUUCGGAAUAAUUCAGGGAAACUUGGACUAAUACCGGAUACGCCCUUCGGGGGAAAGAUUUAUCGCCGAUAGAUCGGCCCGCGUCUGAUUAGCUAGUUGGUGAGGUAAUGGCUCACCAAGGCGACGAUCAGUAGCUGGUCUGAGAGGAUGAUCAGCCACAUUGGGACUGAGACACGGCCCAAACUCCUACGGGAGGCAGCAGUGGGGAAUAUUGGACAAUGGGCGCAAGCCUGAUCCAGCCAUGCCGCGUGAGUGAUGAAGGCCUUAGGGUUGUAAAGCUCUUUUGUCCGGGAAGAUAAUGACUGUACCGGAAGAAUAAGCCCCGGCUAACUUCGUGCCAGCCGCCGCCGUAAAAC